rnacentral:rRNA from 1 species
AACGAACGCUGGCGGCGGGCCUAACACAUGCAAGUCGAACGGAGCUGGGAGAAGCUUGCUUUUCUUAGCUUAGUCGCGGACGGGUGAGUCACGCGUGAGUAACCUGUCCUGGGGUGGAAGACAACAGAUGGAAACGACUGCUAAUACCGCAUAAGCGCACGAUCCAGCAUCGGAUUAAGGGAAAAGGAUUUAUUCGCUUCAGGAUGGACCCGCGUCCGAUUAGCUAGUUGGUGAGGUAACGGCCCACCAAGGCGACGAUUGGUAGCCGGACUGAGAGGAUGAACAGCCACACUGGGACUGAGACACGGCCCAGACUCCUACGGGAGGCAGCAGUGGGGGAUAUUGCACAAUGGGGGAAACCCUGAUCCAGCCACGCCGCGUGGAGGAAGAAGGUCUUCGGAUUGUAAAGCCCUGUCGUCAGGGACGAUAAUGACGGUACCUAAAAAGAAAGCACCGGCUAACUACGUG